CUACCCAUGUCCAGGAUGAAGGUAAGGUAAUACUUACUGGAGGUCCGAACCCACGCACGUUGAAAAGUGCGGGGAUGAGGUGUGGGUAGCGGAGAAAUUCCAAUCGAACUUGGAGAUAGCUGGUUCUCUCCGAAAUAGCUUUAGGGCUAGCCUCGAGGUAAAGAGUCAUGGAGGUAGAGCACUGUUUGGACUAGGGGCCCUUCUCGGGUUACCGAAUUCAGAUAAACUCCGAAUGCCAUGUACUUAUACUCGGGAGUCAGACUGCGAGUGAUAAGAUCCGUAGUCGAAAGGGAAACAGCCCAGACCACCAGUUAAGGUCCCCAAAUAUAUGUUAAGUGGAAAAGGAUGUGGGGUUGCUUAGACAACCAGGAUGUUGGCUUAGAAGCAGCCACCAUUGAAAGAGUGCGUAAUAGCUCACUGGUCGAGUGACCCCGCGCCGAAAAUGUACCGGGGCUAAACAUAUUACCGAAACUGUGGAUGAACCUCUUUAGAGGUUCGUGGUAGGAGAGCGUUCUAAGGGCGGUGAAGUCAGACCGGAAGGACUGGUGGAGCGCUUAGAAGUGAGAAUGCCGGUAUGAGUAGCGAAAGAAGGGUGAGAAUCCCUUCCACCGAAUAUCUAAGGUUUCCUGAGGAAGGCUCGUCCGCUCAGGGUUAGUCGGGACCUAAGCCGAGGCCGAUAGGCGUAGGCGAUGGACAACAGGUAGAGAUUCCUGUACCAGUGCUAAUUGUUUAACCGAUGGGGUGACACAGAAGGAUAGGGAAUCGCACGAAUGGAAAUGUGCGUCCAAGCAGUGAGUGUGAGAAGUAGGCAAAUCCGCUUCUCGCGAAGCAUGAGCUGUGAUGGGGAAGGAAAUUAAGUACGGAAGUUCCUGAUUUCACGCUGUCAAGAAAAGCCUCUAGGAAGAGUAGUACUGCCCGUACCGCAAACCGACACAGGUAGAUGAGGAGAGAAUCCUAAGGUGAGCGAGAGAACUCUCGUUAAGGAACUCGGCAAAAUGACCCCGUAACUUCGGGAGAAGGGGUGCUCUAUUAGGGUGCAAGCCCGAGAGAGCCGCAGUGAAUAGGCCCAGGCGACUGUUUAGCAAAAACACAGGUCUCUGCAAAACCGUAAGGUGACGUAUAGGGGCUGACGCCUGCCCGGUGCUGGAAGGUUAAGAGGAGUGCUUAGCUUCGGCGAAGGUACGAAUUGAAGCCCCAGUAAACGGCGGCCGUAACUAUAACGGUCCUAAGGUAGCGAAAUUCCUUGUCGGGUAAGUUCCGACCCGCACGAAAGGCGCAACGAUCUGGGCACUGUCUCAACGAGAGACUCGGUGAAAUUAUAGUACCUGUGAAGAUGCAGGUUACCCGCGACAGGACGGAAAGACCCCGUGGAGCUUUACUGCAACCUGAUAUGGAAUGUUUGUACCGCUUGUACAGGAUAGGUAGGAGCCGAAGAGACGUGUGCGCUAGCAUACGAGGAGGCAAUGGUGGGAUACUACCCUGGCUGUAUGACCAUUCUAACCCGCCACGCUUAGCGCGUGGGGAGACAGUGUCAGGUGGGCAGUUUGACUGGGGCGGUCGCCUCCUAAAGAGUAACGGAGGCGCCCAAAGGUUCCCUCAGAAUGGAUGGAAAUCAUUCGCAGAGUGUAAAGGCACAAGGGAGCUUGACUGCGAGACUGACAAGUCGAGCAGGGACGAAAGUCGGGCUUAGUGAUCCGGUGGUUCCGCAUGGAAGGGCCAUCGCUCAACGGAUAAAAGCUACCCCGGGGAUAACAGGCUUAUCUCCCCCAAGAGUCCACAUCGACGGGGAGGUUUGGCACCUCGAUGUCGGCUCGUCGCAUCCUGGGGCUGUAGUCGGUCCCAAGGGUUGGGCUGUUCGCCCAUUAAAGCGGCACGCGAGCUGGGUUCAGAACGUCGUGAGACAGUUCGGUCCCUAUCCGUCGCGGGCGCAGGAAAUUUGAGAGGAGCUGUCCUUAGUACGAGAGGACCGGGAUGGACACACCGCUGGUGUACCAGUUGUUCCGCCAGGAGCAUCGCUGGGUAGCUAUGUGUGGCAGGGAUAAACGCUGAAAGCAUCUAAGCGUGAAGCCCCCCUCAAGAUGAGAUUUCCCAUUUCUUCGGAAAGUAAGAUCCCUGAAAGAUGAUCAGGUAGAUAGGUUUGGAGUGGAAGUGUAGCGAUACAUGGAGCGGACAAAUACUAAUCGAUCGAGGACUUAACCAA
rnacentral:rRNA from 1 species